rnacentral:rRNA from 1 species
UACGAAGGGGGCUAGCGUUGCUCGGAAUUACUGGGCGUAAAGGGCGCGUAGGCGGACAGUUAAGUCAGAGGUGAAAGCCCAGGGCUCAACCUUGGAACUGCCUUUGAUACUGGCUGUCUAGAGUGCGGGAGAGGUGUGUGGAACUCCGAGUGUAGAGGUGAAAUUCGUAGAUAUUCGGAAGAACACCAGUGGCGAAGGCGACACACUGGCCCGUAACUGACGCUGAGGCGCGAAAGCGUGGGGAGCAAACAGG